rnacentral:rRNA from 1 species
CCCUUAGAUGUCCUGGGCCGCACGCGCGCUACACUGAGUGUCUGAGAUACGAGUCUGCCUGGUCCGGCAAGGUCUAGGUAAUCGCUAAAAGACACAUCAUGCUUGGGAUAGAUUAUUGCAAAUAUUAAUCUUGAACGAGGAAUUCCUAGUAAGCGCAAGUCAACAGCUUGCAUUGAUUACGUCCCUGCCCUUUGUACACACCGCCCGUCGCUCCUACCGAUUGAAUGAUCCGAUGAAUAUCAUGGAUUGAGGAUGCAAGUAGGUUCGCCUAUCUUCAUCUUCGAGAAGUGAAGUAAAUCUUAUCAUUUAGAGGAAGGAGAAGUCGUAACA